UACGAAGGGGGCUAGCGUUGUUCGGAAUUACUGGGCGUAAAGCGCACGUAGGCGGAUCGACAAGUCAGGGUUGAAAUCCCAGGGCUCAACCCUGGAACUGCCUUUGAAACUCCUUGUCUUGAGGUCGAGAGAGGUGAGUGGAAUUACGAGUGUAGAGGUGAAAUUCGUAGAUAUUCGGAGGAACCCCAGUGGCGAAGGCGGCUCACUGGCUCGAUACUGACGCUGAGGUGCGAAAGCGUGGGGAGCAAACAGG
rnacentral:rRNA from 1 species